ensembl:snoRNA
AUCCUUUUGUAGUUUCUAAGCGGGAUGAUUGGGUGUUCACGCGCAUGUGUGAGAUGUGCCUCCCUCAAACCUUGUUACGACAUCGGCACAUUACCCUUCUGACA